rnacentral:rRNA from 1 species
UACGUAGGGUGCAAGCGUUGUCCGGAAUUACUGGGCGUAAAGCGCACGUAGGCGGCUUUGCAAGUCAGAGGUGAAAGCCCGGGGCUCAACCCCGGAAUUGCCUUUGAGACUGCAUCGCUAGAAUUGUGGAGAGGUAAGUGGAAUUCCGAGUGUAGAGGUGAAAUUCGUAGAUAUUCGGAAGAACACCAGUGGCGAAGGCGACAUACUGGCUCAUUACUGACGCUGAGGCUCGAAAGCGUGGGGAGCAAACAGG